rnacentral:rRNA from 1 species
AAUUAGAGCCAUAUCUCCCUGCAGUUCUUGGUUGGCUUCCCACUGAAGCUAAGCAGGGCUGAGCCUGGCCAGUACCUGGAUGGGAGACCUCCUGGGGAAAUUUAAGGCUGCUCUCCUUU